rnacentral:rRNA from 1 species
GGACGACGCUGGCGGCGUGCCUAACACACUGCAAGUCAGCUUGACUGAAGGAGCAAUCUGACAGUAGAGUGGCGCAAGGGUGCGUAACGCGUAAGUAACUUGCCCCAAGGUAAGGAAUAACGUCGAGAAAUCGGCGCUAAUACCUCAUAAUGCAGCGGAUCCGCAUGGAUAUGUUGUUAAAGGUUUACCGCCUUGGGAUAGGCUUGCGUCUGAUUAGCUAGUUGGUGUGGUAACGGCACACCAAGGCUACGAUCAGUAACUGGUCUGAGAGGAUGAUCAGUCACACUGGAACUGAGACACGGUCCAGACUCCUACGGGAGGCAGCAGUGAGGAAUAUUGGGCAAUGCUCGAAAGAGUGACCCAGCAACGCCGCGUGGAGGAUGAAGGUAUUCUAUAUCGUAAACUCCUGUGAGAGCAGACGAAAGACAGAUUAUUAAUCUGGAUGACUGUAUGCUCAGAGGAAGCCCCGGCUAACUACGUG